rnacentral:rRNA from 1 species
AUACAGAGGGUGCAAGCGUUAAUCGGAUUUACUGGGCGUAAAGCGCGCGUAGGUGGCUAAUUAAGUCAAAUGUGAAAUCCCCGAGCUUAACUUGGGAAUUGCAUUCGAUACUGGUUAGCUAGAGUAUGGGAGAGGAUGGUAGAAUUCCAGGUGUAGCGGUGAAAUGCGUAGAGAUCUGGAGGAAUACCGAUGGCGAAGGCAGCCAUCUGGCCUAAUACUGACACUGAGGUGCGAAAGCAUGGGGAGCAAACAGGAUUAGAUUCCCUGGUAGUCCAUGCCGUAAACGAUGUCUACUAGCCGUUGGGGCCCUUGAGGCUUUAGUGGCGCAGCUAACGCGAUAAGUAGACCGCCUGGGGAGUACGGUCGCAAGACUAAAACUCAAAUGAAUUGACGGGG